UACGUAGGGCGCAAGCGUUAUCCGGAAUUACUGGGCGUAAAGCGCGCGUAGGCGGAUCGCUAAGUCAGGGGUGAAAUCCCAGGGCUCAACCCUGGAACUGCCUUUGAUACUGACGAUCUGGAGAUCGGGAGAGGUUGGUGGAAUUCCGAGUGUAGAGGUGAAAUUCGUAGAUAUUCGGAGGAACACCAGAAGCGAAGGCGGCCAACUGGCCCGAUACUGACGCUGAGGCGCCGAAAGCGUGGGGAGCAAACAGG
rnacentral:rRNA from 1 species